rnacentral:rRNA from 1 species
AUGAACUACCCGGUGGGGUUCCGCUUCGCCCCGACGGACGAGGAGCUGGUCGAGUACUACCUCCUGCCCCGGCUGCAAGGCCGGCAACACGUGCCCAACGACGCCAUCAUCGAGGACAACGUCUACCAGUGCCACCCCGACGAGCUCGUCAACGGCAAGUACAAGGACAAGGGACAAGACAACAACUGGUUCUUCCUGACGUCGAGGACUCGCAAGUACGUCAACGGCGGCAGGCCGGCCCGGUCGACGGACGACGGCCGGGGGCGGUGGAAGGCGUCGACGGGCACCACGGAGGUCGUCGGCGCCACCGUCACGUACAAGGAGAGCGGCCUCGCCUACCAUGAAGGCCCCAUCAAGACCGAGAAGAAGACCAAGUGGCUCAUGCACGAGCUCACCGUCCCGGAGUACGAGAACAAGCUCGACAAGAGCGGUGUCCGGCCCAAAUCCGAUACGAUCAUCAGUCGUAAGGCCGGACGCCGCCACUGCUCAAUGUUGAAUGGUUGUCCGUGUCAUGCUGCAAGAGAGACGGGCGAUGUUGCAAGGCUGGCCAAUAUCGUUGCAAGAGGGACACAUGAUGCUGAAAUGUUGGCUGCACAUGGUGGAGUGUUGUUGGGCACCACUCUCGUGGGAUGGGAGCAUCUAUUCUUUUUUCUUGCGACAGGUCCCAUGCAUCUAACUAUUUGUGGCUGGUUGAUACAAGGGGCAACGUGCCGGUCGACGCCUAGCACAACCCAUUUUAAUGAAUGA